rnacentral:rRNA from 1 species
UACGUAGGGUGCGAGCGUUGUCCGGAAUUAUUGGGCGUAAAGAGCUCGUAGGCGGCCUGUCGCGUCGGUUGUGAAAGCCCGGGGCUUAACCCCGGGUCUGCAGUCGAUACGGGCAGGCUAGAGUUCGGUAGGGGAGUUCGGAAUUCCUGGUGUAGCGGUGAAAUGCGCAGAUAUCAGGAGGAACACCGGUGGCGAAGGCGGAUCUCUGGGCCGAUACUGACGUUGAGGAGCGAAAGCGUGGGGAGCGAACAGG